CCAGACUCCUACGGGAGGCAGCAGUGGGGAAUCUUCCGCAAUGGACGAAAGUCUGACGGAGCAACGCCGCGUGAGUGAUGACGGCCUUCGGGUUGUAAAGCUCUGUUAAUCGGGACGAAAGGCCUUCUUGCGAAUAGUGAGAAGGAUUGACGGUACCGGAAUAGAAAGCCACGGCUAACUACGUGCCAGCAGCCGCGGUAAUACGUAGGUGGCAAGCGUUGUCCGGAAUUAUUGGGCGUAAAGCGCGCGCAGGCGGAUAGGUCAGUCUGUCUUAAAAGUUUUGGGGGCUAACCCCGUGAUGGGAUGGAAACUGCCAAUCUAGAGUAUCGGAGAGGAAAGUGGAAUUCCUAGUGUAGCGGUGAAAUGCGUAGAUAUUAGGAAGAACACCAGUGGCGAAGGCGACUUUCUGGACGAAAACUGACGCUGAGGCGCGAAAGCCAGGGGAGCGAACGGGAUUAGAUACCCCGGUAGUCCUGGCUGUAAACGAUGGGUACUAGGUGUAGGAGGUAUCGACCCCUUCUGUGCCGGAGUUAACGCAAUAAGUACCCCGCCUGGGGAGUACGACCGCAAGGUUGAAACUCAAAGGAAUUGACGGGGGCCCGCACA
rnacentral:rRNA from 1 species